rnacentral:rRNA from 1 species
UGAAGCGGCAAAGCUCAAAUUUGAAAUCUGGCACCUUCGGUGUCCGAGUUGUAAUUUGAAGAUUGUAACCUUGGGGUUGGCUCUUGUCUAUGUUUCUUGGAACAGGACGUCACAGAGGGUGAGAAUCCCGUGCGAUGAGAUGCCCAAUCCUAUGUAAGGUGCUUUCGAAGAGUCGAGUUGUUUGGGAAUGCAGCUCUAAGUGGGUGGUAAAUUCCAUCUAAAGCUAAAUAUUGGCGAGAGACCGAUAGCGAACAAGUACAGUGAUGGAAAGAUGAAAAGAACUUUGAAAAGAGAGUGAAAAAGUACGUGAAAUUGUUGAAAGGGAAGGGUUUGAGAUCAGACUCGAUAUUUUGUGAGCCUUGCCUUCGUGGCGGGGUGACCCGCAGCUUAUCGGGCCAGCAUCGGUUUGGGCGGUAGGAUAAUGGCGUAGGAAUGUGACUUUGCUUCGGUGAAGUGUUAUAGCCUGCGUUGAUGCUGCCUGCCUAGACCGAGGACUGCGAUUUUAUCAAGGAUGCUGGCAUAAUGAUCCCAAACCGCCCGUCUUGA